rnacentral:tRNA from 1 species
CGGGGCGUAGCGCAGUGGUAGCGCGCAUGGUUUGGGACCAUGAGGUCGUGAGUUAGAGCCUCACCGCCCCGACCA